rnacentral:rRNA from 1 species
UCAUAUGCUUGUCUUAAAGAUUAAGCCAUGCAUGUCUAAGUAUAAGCUUUUAUACGGCUAAACUGCGAAUGGCUCAUUAAAACAGUUAUAGUUUAUUUGAUGGUCUUUACUACAUGGAUAACCGUGGUAAUUCUAUGGCUAAUACAUGCGCACAUGCCUAUUCCCCUGGAAGGGCAGUGUUUAUUAGAUACAGAACCAACCCACCUUCCGGUGGUCCUCAGGUGAUUCAUAGUAACCGAACGGAUCGCGUUGACUUCGGUCUGCGACGGAUCAUUCAAGUUUCUGACCUAUCAGCUUUCGACGGUACUGUAUUGGACUACCGUGGCAGUGACGGGUAACGGGGAAUUAGGGUUCGAUUCCGGAGAGGGAGCCUGAGAAACGGCUACCACAUCUAAGGAAGGCAGCAGGCGCGCAGAUUACCCAAUCCUGAUUCAGGGAGGUAGUGACAAGAAAUAACAACACUGGAAAUUUCAUUUCUAGUGAUUGGAAUGAUAGGAAUCCAAACCCCUUUCAGAGUAACAAUUGGAGGGCAAGUCUGGUGCCAGCAGCCGCGGUAAUUCCAGCUCCAAUAGCGUAUAUUAAAGUUGUUGCAGUUAAAAAGCUCGUAGUUGGAUUUCUGCUGGAAGCAGCCAGUCCGCCCUCAGGGGUGUGCACUUGGUGAAUUCUAGCAUCCUUCUGGAUUUCUCCACACUUCAUUGUGUGGAGUUUUUUCCAGGACUUUUACUUUGAGAAAAUUAGAGUGUUUCAAGCAGGCUUGUCGCCUUGAAUACUGCAGCAUGGAAUAAUAAGAUAGGAUUUCGGCCCUAUUUUGUUGGUUUCUAGGACUGAAGUAAUGAUUAAUAGGGACGGUUGGGGGCAUUCGUAUUUAACUGUCAGAGGUGAAAUUCUUAGAUUUGUUAAAGACGAACUACUGCGAAAGCAUUUGCCAAAGAUGUUUUCAUUAAUCAAGAACGAAAGUUAGGGGCUCGAAGACGAUCAGAUACCGUCGUAGUCUUAACCAUAAACUAUGCCGACUAGAGAUAGGAAAACGUCAUGCUUGACUUCUCCCUGCACUUAUGAGAAAUCAAAGUCUUUGGGUUCUGGGGGGGAGUAUGGUCGCAAGGCUGAAACUUAAAGGAAUUGACGGAAGGGCAC